AUGAAGGAUGGAACUGUACUGUAUAUCACUGUAUAUGACAAUAUAUGGGUGAUGAAGAUUUCCAAUGUCUUGGCUGGCUGGAUUCAAGAUCUCUGUUGGAACCGAAUGAGGAGCAAAUUCACCUGUCACCCUACUCUUUUCUUGCAACCUGGGAAUUAUUUCUUCCUGGCUUUGAAGGUUGUUAGCUCAUGUGCAGGAGGAAGCAGAACAUUUGCUCAGGCUCCUUUCAAGGCUGGUUGCCACAUGAAGACACUCACCAAAAACCAAAUUUAUGGUUUUAUUUUUUCCUCUUCUAUUGUCAGGAGUGAGAGCAGAGAGAGAGGAACUUCAGUAAAGGCUGUUCUCUUGCCUCAGUGGCAGAGAGCAAGGAGGUCCUUAAGGAGCUCUGCUCGCCCACCUGGACCAUUUAAAUUAAGAGAUGAGCAAGGUGCCAAGUGCACAAGGGCAAAUUGCCUGUGCAAUGAGCUCACAGAAAAGUUGUCUGGCAGGGGCACCUUCUUUGAGGAAUAAAAUCCUUGUAAUUCACUUCCCUUCACUAAAACACAGAAUUUCCACAUGUAAGAGCUUGAUGUCUUUGUAAAAGCAGGGGGAAUUUAUAAAUUAGACAUUAUUAAAUUCUGUUUAACUUGCAGCUCAUUUAUUUUUAGGCCUAGCAUAAUUGCUUUCAGACCUUGAGCUUGCUGCAGUGGUGAUUUUGUCCAGCUCUGCAAGGUGACCUGGAGACUGAAUUCCAGACACAGGGAUAACAGUCCCCUGCUUCCUGUGCUCUAGAGGGUCAAAAGCAAAGCCUAGACCAAAGACAAGGGAGAUGAGUUUUUGGUUCUACUCCUUAAUCAUGCAAGCUACUUGAUUAUGUUAAACCAAAUUAAGUCCCCUUUCUCUGCCCUCAUACUCAGAUAACAGCUUUUAGUGUCCUUCUUUAGAAAUAUCAGUGUGUUAAAUAGCGUAAUGGAGUCAGAUCUAGAUUGGGAUCUCAUUUCUACUCCUUGGGAGCUUCAAGUUAACUUGGUGCAAGUUAACUUAAUCCUUCUGAGCCUUCAAUUUUCUUACACGUAAAAUGGGACUACUAGUAGGACUGAUCUUAUGGGGUUGUUCUAAGACUGGCUAAUAUAACACAGUGCAUAUGAAGAUCUCAGCACACUGUUUGGUAUUCUGUACAUGGUAGAGAUGGUUAGUUAGAUGGAUAGAUCAAAAGUGCAUGUUCAAUAUGGUCAGUGCCUUCAGGCCAAGCUAUAUGAGUUUCCAAUAACAAGUAACUGAGUCCUGUCUAAAGACUUUCAAUCAGAGCCAGUAUUCGAGAUGAAGCAAUGACUUUUGACUACCGACAGUCUUUCUGUGGGGAGAAACAAGAUGUAAUAUUUUUAGAGCAGAUCCAACUAGUUACUUUUAAAUUAUAUAAAAUCUGCUGGGUUUCAUCAAUCAAAUUAAUCCUUUUAUUCUGGGGUCUUUUCUCCAUCAAUGAUAAUUAAAAUUUUGUAAACAAACAAGACAAACAAAAAACCCAACACUGACAACUGCUUCUUUUCUUCCAGAAUCCUUCCUGUUCAUGGGUUAAUUCCUCUUUAUUCCCUGAAGAGGUAAAAACUUUAGAACCUAAUACAAGGGAUUCCAUUACCAUGUUUUAUUAGUCACUUAUCUGCUGUUCCCAGGUUACUAUACUAGAAGAACUGUAACCACCCAAACACCAUCUAAAAACAUGUAAACAUAAUUUGCAAGAAAAUUUCUGACAGGUCCCCUUGGGCCUAUUUGAUAUAAGCUUAGUAACAGAAUACAUUUUAAGUCAGUACAUUUUUCUGGCUAAAAUUUCCCAUUUGCUUCGUGUUUAUGUAAAAAUGUGUUCAAGCUCUCCAGGGGCUGGACUUCAUCCUCCAUACUCCCCCUGGGGUGUAGCUCUAUAAUGGACCAGUGGUUUUGAUGACUUCCCAAAGUUCUCUCUCCUAGAACACAUGAUCUGGAAAGACUAAAACAGAGGUCAAAAGAGUGCCUUGAGAACACUAUUAAUUUAUAUGCUACAUCUUUAAGGAAUUGGAAGCAGCAGUUCCAAGAGAGUUUAGCAGACCUGGGAACACAUAGAAAUUAUUUGUUCAAAUAUAAGUGUGCAAAUAAUGUUCUUUAGACUUAUAGAGCCUGUCACAUACAGCAAGCCUCCAGCCUUUCCCCUUUCCUGAUCUCCUGAUCGUCUUUCACUCCAAAACUAAAUGUGCCCUUCUAAAACCCAGCUAUCAUUGAAUCUCUAGACUUUGUAAUGAAGGCACUAGCCUGGCACAUAUGCCCUUUCUAGCUUUAUCUAUCACUGCUGCUGUCAUAUUCUCUACUCAACCACGCAAAAUUCAUCCUUACCCCCAAUUCACCAUGAUUUGCUCUCUCCUAUGUCUUUGUGUUGGCUGCUUCUUUCGCCUGGUGAAAUCCCACCCAUUUGUGAAAGCCCAGCUUAAAUAUAGUCCCCUAAAGGAAGGGUUCCCAGUGCCUAAAGCUGACAUAGUCACUUUCUUCCCUGUGAUCCUGGCACAUUGUAACAGGCCUCUAUUGUAGCACUGUACACGCUAGUUUGUAAUUAAUUUUUAUUUGCUCCCACCCCUAUUAUAUAGUGAUAUCUUAUGAAUUUUUUGUACCCCAGUGUUUCAAAAGUAGCGAGCGAAAUAAAGAAUGAAUGAAUGAACCAACCCAGCACAUGGGUUGGUUCCAGUAAUAGAUUGGAAAGAAGAUGAGAUAUUAAGCAAGGACCCACCCUUUGCUUCCACAUUGUCUGGACUCACCUACUGACUCUGUAGAGC
ensembl:lncRNA